AUGGUGGGAGUGGAUAGAAGUGAUUGUUUUCAACACCUUAUUGACAGAAUUUGCCAGAGAAUUAAGGGUUGGAAAGAGAAAGUGCUCUCAAUAAAGGGGAAAGAGAUUUUGUUUAAGGCAGUAGGCCAAGCAAUUCCCUCGUAUGCUAUGUCAGUUUUUAAACUUCCAAAAAGCAUUUGCAAGGCAAUUACGGAUGAGCUUGCAGGUUUUUGGUGGGGUGAUAGUGAGGAGUAGAAGAAGAUGCAUUGGUUUGCAUGGUGGAAGUUAUGCAUCCCGAAGAAUGAGGGAGGAUUGGGGUUUAGGGACUUACACAGUUUCAACCUUGCUUUAUUAGCAAAACAGUGUUAGCGCCUACUCCAUAAUCCCGAAUCUUUGUGUGCACGAGUUCUAGGUGCAAAGUACUACCCUGAUGGAAACAUACUUAUGGCGGGACCAAAGAAGGGUUCCUCCUUCACUUGGCAAAGUAUUGUAGCGGGUAUACAAACUUUUAAGAGAGGAUGCAUCUGGCGUGUGGGUACGGGUUCACAAAUAAAUAUCUGGAAUGAUCCCUGGAUACCCAUUAGUGAGAAUAGGAAAAUUAUAACUCCAAGGGGAGCAACCAUGUUGAGCAAGGUGGAGGAAUUAAUUGAUUCUUAUACUGGACAAUGGGAUGAGACUUUGAUCAGAGAUGUGUUCUGGCCAGUUGAUGUACACCGGAUCCUACAAAUUCCUCUCUGA
rnacentral:rRNA from 1 species